CCUACGGGGGGCAGCAGUGGGGAAUAUUGCACAAUGGGGGAAACCCUGAUGCAGCGAAGCCGCGUGAGUGAAGACGUAAUUCGUUAUGUAAAGCUCUAUCUGCAGGGAAGAAAAUGACGGUACCUGAGUAAGAAGCCCCAGCUAACUACGGGCCAGCAGCCGCGGGAAUACGUAGGGGGAAAGCGUUAUCCGGAUUUACUGGGUGCAAGGGGAGGGUUGACUGGAGUGCAAGUGUGGAGUGAAAGGCGGGGGCUCAACCCCCGGACUGCACUGGAAACUGGAAGGCUGGAGUGCAGGAGAGGUAAGUGGAAUUCGUGGUGUAGCGGUGAAAUGCGUAGAUAUUAGGAGGAACUCCAGUGGCGAAGGC
rnacentral:rRNA from 1 species